AGGGAAUCUUCCGCAAUGGGCGAAAGCCUGACGGAGCAACGCCGCGUGAGUGAUGAAGGUCUUCGGAUCGUAAAACUCUGUUAUUAGGGAAGAACAUAUGUGUAAGUAACUGUGCACAUCUUGACGGUACCUAAUCAGAAAGCCACGGCUAACUACGUGCCAGCAGCCGCGGUAAUACGUAGGUGGCAAGCGUUAUCCGGAAUUAUUGGGCGUAAAGCGCGCGUAGGCGGUUUUUUAAGUCUGAUGUGAAAGCCCACGGCUCAACCGUGGAGGGUCAUUGGAAACUGGAAAACUUGAGUGCAGAAGAGGAAAGUGGAAUUCCAUGUGUAGCGGUGAAAUGCGCAGAGAUAUGGAGGAACACCAGUGGCGAAGGCGACUUUCUGGUCUGUAACUGACGCUGAUGUGCGAGAGCGUGGGGAUCAAACAGGAUUAGAUACCCUGGUAGUCCACGCCGUAAACGAUGAGUGCUAAGUGUUAGGGGGUUUCCGCCCCUUAGUGCUGCAGCUAACGCAUUAAGCACUCCGCCUGGGGAGUACGACCGCAAGGUUG
rnacentral:rRNA from 1 species